rnacentral:rRNA from 1 species
AUUGAACGCUGGCGGCAGGCCUAACACAUGCAAGUCGAACGAGUGGCGGACGGGUGGUUAAUGUCUGGGCAACUGCCCGAUGGAGGGGGCUAACUACUGGAAGCGGUAGCUAAUACCGCAUACCAUCGGAUGUGCCCAGAUGGGAUGAGCUAGGAGGUGGGGUAAAGGCUCACCUAGGCGACGAUCCAUAGCUGGUCUGUGAGGAUGACAAGCCACACUGGAACUGAGACACGGUCCAGACUCCUACGGGAGGCAGCAGUGGGGAAUAUUGGACAAUGGGCGAAAGCCUGAUGCAGCCAUGCCGCGUGUAUGAAGAAGGCCUUCGGGUUGUAAAGUACUUUCAGCGGGGAGGCGUUACCCGCAGAAGAAGCACCGGCUAACUCCGUGCCAGCAGCCGCGGUAAUUC